GAAAGUAUAGGUCAGUGGUAGAGUGCAUGCUUAGCAUGCACAAGGUCCUGGGUUCAAUCCCCAAUACUUCCA
rnacentral:tRNA from 1 species